rnacentral:tRNA from 1 species
GGAGAGGUGUCCGAGUGGUUGAAGGAGCACGCCUUGGAAAGUGUGUAAGCGUCUAAACCGCGCUUCGGGGGUUCGAAUCCCCCUCUCUCCGCCA